GGGGAAGUAACUCAGUGGCAGGGUGCUCGCUUCGCAUGCGAGAAGCACAGGGUUUGAUUGCCUCCUGCUCCA